UACGUAGGGGGCUAGCGUUGUCCGGAAUCAUUGGGCGUAAAGAGCGUGUAGGCGGUCCGGUAAGUCCGCUGUGAAAGUCGGGGGCUCAACCCUCGAAUGCCGGUGGAUACUGUCGGGCUAGAGUGCGGAAGAGGCGAGUGGAAGUUCCUGGUGUAGCGGUGAAAUGCGCAGAUAUCAGGAGGAACACCUAUUGCGAAGGCAGCUCGCUGGGACGUAACUGACGCUGAGACGCGAAAGCGUGGGGAGCAAACAGG
rnacentral:rRNA from 1 species